rnacentral:rRNA from 1 species
UGGGGAAUAUUGCACAAUGGGCGAAAGCCUGAUGCAGCAACGCCGCGUGAGCGAUGAAGGCCUUCGGGUCGUAAAGCUCUGUCCCAAGGGAAGAUAAUGACGGUACCUUGGGAGGAAGCCCCGGCUAACUACGUGCCAGCAGCCGCGGUAAUACGUAGGGGGCAAGCGUUAUCCGGAAUCACUGGGCGUAAAGGGUGCGUAGGCGGUCUUGCAAGCCAGAGGUGAAAGGCUAUGGCUCAACCAUAGUGAGCCUUUGGAACUGCCGGACUUGAGUACAGGAGAGGAAAGUGGAAUUCCUAGUGUAGCGGUGAAAUGCGUAGAUAUUAGGAGGAACACCAGUGGCGAAGGCGACUUUCUGGACUGUUACUGACGCUGAGGCACGAAAGCGUGGGGAGCGAACAGG